GGCUUUUCUCCCCUAUUCCGAUGGAAUGUGUCCCCGGAAGCUGAUACUUCGCCAUUUUUUUUUUUUUUUUUUUUUUUUUUUUGUCUCUUAACAGGCGGGCUGAGGAAGUUGCCUCUCUCUGGCGCCUGCAUUCAAUGAACGUUUGUAAUGUUAGCAGGUGUGGACCUUGAGGAGAUUUUCUCUCCCUGGCUGCCCAAUUAUCAUUUUUAGAGAGGCAAUGCGAUAAUUGCUGAACGAUGUCACCUGACAUUCCUAGCGGGUGGGAGAGAGCCCUCUCCUGCCCCGCUCAUUGCCUAACUACCUGUAACAGGUGUGUGGGUGAGUGCUCCCUGUGAUGGAACGGUGUCCUGUUCAGGACUGGGUGCCACCUGGCACCUUGAGCUGCCAGGACCGGCUCGGGCUGCUCGCGAUCCCAAACUAGAACAAAUGGGUGGCCACCCUCCUGUUGCCGCUUCACAUGGUCUUUCCUCUGUGCGUGCGCAGCUCUGGUGUCCCUCUCCAUGUCCUAAUCUCUUCUCAAAAGGACACCAGUCAUACCUCACUUUACCUUCGUCACCUCACCUUAUCUCCAAGUACAGUCACAUUCUCAGGUCCUGGGAAUGAGGAUUUCAGCAUGUAAAUUUUGCGGAGACACACGUCAGCUCCUAACAAAAUGUUCAGUUGUCUAGCUCACAGGGAUAUCCACAAGCCAGACCCAGAAAGCCUUUGCUACCAUUGAUGAAGAUGCCAAGUCCACAGCCCAACAGCCAGAAGACCCUUGGUCUAGUAAGUGUCACCCUGUAAUUCUGUGAUCUGAGAGCUCCCAGGAGAUGAGACUGGUGAAGAAGCAAGGCUUCUUUGGGUCCCUAGUGUAAUCUUGGCUGAGGGAGAAGGGUCCUAUAAUUUCUGGAAUAAAUUUAAAGGAAGCUGUGAAAUUUCCUGCCAGAAAAGUUGCUCUGUCAGCUUCCAUUCUCGUAAUAUCAUUGGCUGCUCGAUUAGAGCUUAAACGCUUAUGUAGUCCUUCAAUUUUGUCAGUUUUCCCUAAAUACUUCUUAGCUUAUGUCACAUAUCUACAUGUGAUGGGAAUAUACAGUUCGUCACCUACUACUUCAGUUUCCUGCAUAAUCUGCAUCCACACCGAAUAACCAUGAGCAGAACUCACUAAAUGGAUACAGACGACUUCUGGAAGGAUUUUUCAAGGCACCAGGUGAAAUUACUUAAAAGCCAACUGAUUCUGCAGACAAGCGUGUCAGCUCCUCUGACACCCCUGGGGAUUCACACCCUGGGGAAAUUUGUAAAUGUGAAACAGAAGCCCAACAAUUGUACUGUGCAGUGACAAAAACGUCUCUCUCCCCCAAAAACCUGAGUAGGUGAAGGAAGUUUACUUUGCAUCCUCUGAUACAAGCAUACAUCAAGUUGUCUUGCCAAGUAAAGAAUGAGAACAAAAUGUACUACUUAGUUUCAUUAUCUUUUUUUGCCUUUGAUCAUAGGAUUCCAUGCACUGGAUUUUUACGGAUGAAGAAUAGGAAUGUGUUGAGAAGGGAUGGGAUGGUGAUAAAAUUAGAAACUGAAUGGUGGUUGUAUUGGUUCCUGAACCUUGUUAUUCCUCCUACCCCUAAGUUCCAUUUAAGAAGGGGUCCCAGGAGGUGGGUGACUCUGGCUGUUGGAAAACAUAAUUAGGCUUGACUUCUUACCUCUCACCACUAAUUCUUACCUCUCACCCUAAUUCUGAAGAAUUAGGUAACAAAACAAGCUCUGCACUGAGAGUCAAUAGGCAAGCUGAACUGUUCAAGUUGAAGACCCAACAGACAAAUCCCAAAAGAGAUUGCUUUACCUUUCAUCAGCAGGAUGGGAAAGAUUUAU
rnacentral:lncRNA from 10 species